GUCAUUUGUAUCCUAUACAGAUUAAAAUAAAUUGUCUCCAAAAUCAAAAUACUACGGCAUCCCCAUGCGGCCAUGCCUCACCGCCGCCGUCCCCUAGCCUCGCUGCAUCUAAUCCCAGGCCACAAAGAUCGAUUCUUUUGACCUAGAUACACAAUUUGAUGGUGGCUUUGCCAGGCCCGGUGGCGGAGCUCGAUGGCCUAGUUGAAGGAUCUGGGGACCUCGCCGCCUCCUUCCAUGAGUGUUGCCUGCAAGGAAUCGAGGAAGGGUUCGGUUGGAGGCAGGUCUCGAUGCCUCCAUGGCCACGCCGCCGGUGCGUCCCCUCCCUCCUUGUUCCCUCUCCGCAGCCCCCGCUGUCCGGCCGCCGCCUGAUCUCGUCGACUCCAUCCUCUCCAAGGUUAUCCAACUCUCGGAACCUUCCUUCCCUGGUGUGCUAGAAGCUAUUCAUUCCGUGGUACAUUGUCUAGCAGCUCGUGGCAGUGUCUGGUAACGUGAGGUCAUUCUGUGGUGACAAUUGUCAUGUUCAGAAUUGUGAAGCUUUUGUCGAGUCCGUUGUCGUCUCCCUGGGGGCAUGGAAAUGUUCUGGCUGUUCAUAUCGCCUGUGGUCGCAUACGGGAAAGAGAAAGUCUGUGGACUAUAGUACCUGAGCUCUUGUUCUCUGUCUUCACAAAAGCUUGUGGCAGUCGAGAGUUACCUGCGAGUGGCGGGUAGUACCUAUGAAGUUACUAGGUGGUGUCUCCUUGUGAUGAGCAUAUGUUCUGAUAGUUUCUAGCAAUCAACCUCUGUGACUCUUUUGUCAUCUGUAAAAUUUGGUUAUCAUAACCUCUGGUUGUAUCAGACUGUAUAUAGUUGAAUUACAUUAUCAGCUAUCUCUGUAUUGUAACUUGAAGUUUGUUCCGAGAAAGUUUCAAUGCUACACCGAACACUUUGGUUGGUAUCA